rnacentral:rRNA from 1 species
CUAGUGUAGCGGUGAAUGCGUAGAUAUUAGGAGGAACACCAGUGGCGAAGGCGGCUUUCUGGACUGUAACUGACACUGAGGCAUGAAAGCGUGGGUAGCAAACAGGAUUAGAUACCCUGCUAGUCACGCCGUAAACGAUGGGUACUAGGUGUAGGAGGUAUCGACCCCUUCUGUGCCGUCGUUAACACAAUAAGUACCCCGCCUGGGGAGUACGGUCGCAAGACUAAAACUCAAAGGAAUUGACGGGGGCCCGCACAAGCAGCGGAGCAUGUGGUUUAAUUCGAAGCAACGCGAAGAACCUUACCUAGACUUGACAUCUCCUGAAUUACCCUUAACCGGGGAAGCCCUUCGGGGCAGGAAGACAGGUGGUGCAUGGUUGUCGUCAGCUCGUGUCGUGAGAUGUUGGGUUAAGUCCCGCAACGAGCGCAACCCU